CGGGCGGCCGUGACCCUGCUGGAGUGCGGGGGGGACCUCCAGCCCCCCGGGGGGUCCCUGUGCCUCCUCUGCCGAGGGUCUGGGUUCAGUUUUGGCAGUUUUGCCAUGGGCUGGUAUCGACAGAGGCCUGGGCAGGGGCUGGAGUACGUUGCAGAUAUCAGUAAUGGUGGUGGCUGCACCUGGUACGCGCCGUCGGUCAAUGGUCGGUUCAGGAUCUCCAGGGACGACGGGCAGAGCUCGGUGAUGCUGACCAUGAACAACCUCAAGGACGAGGAUUCCGCCACCUAUUUCUGUGCCAAAUCUCCUGAUCACAGCGGGGUUCACUUGUGA